UUUAUUGGCAUUGCCACAUACAAUUGGGAUUGGAGGAUGUAUUCUGAGAAUUGAUGCAACAAAAUCUGGAAAGGGUAAAAGUGGAUUCGGCUGAGGAACCUCUCAAAAUGCCCUGUUGAUAAGGUGAUUGAUGGGGCCCAGUUGGUUGGUUUUUAACAUACAUGAGCAAUGUUUGUACAUGGGUGUGCAGUCGCGUACGUGCAAAUUCAUAUUAUAUUUUAUAUGAGAAGAUAAAGGAAGAUGCUCAUGACUGUGCCUCGCAAAAUGUAUAUUGUGCAACAGGUAAAAGACAUGGGAUGAGCAAGUAUGUAGUAUGUACCACUCGCUGUAUUCAGUCCUCAGGAAGGUCAGACUGUUUGGUCGGCUACAUUUGAGCUGCUCACCAUCCACCGGAUCACAACAUACUUAUCACUUUGUACAUAAGCCCAUCACUAACUUUUUUUCCCGUUCCAAGUCACGGCAGUGCUGUUCAUUUUACUGCUACCUCUGACAUUAUGCAUGUCUAUUCAUUUUUAUUUUCGAUAUUUAACUAACAUUUUUUAUAUAAGUAAUCAAGAAGUUUUAUUCAUAAAAGUAGGCAAAGCCCAAGUACAUUCGAUAUUUAACUAACAUUGGGAUGGACUUGUGUUUUUGUUUCUGGAAUUGCAUUUCAACAAGCGUUUUCCAAGAUGUAAGAUGUUUUCAUAUAAUGGUCGUUUUAUGGUGUGUUCAAUUUAAUUGUCUGAAACCUGUUUGUCGGGGCCACUGAAUUGAGUGAAAAUGUGGACCUUAACAAGUGAAGAAGGCUGGCUACUGCCGAGAGAUAGAAUUGUGGAAGUGUUCCCAGACAUUGGAGUUGAAGAGUACAGCUGACCCCGUGUUGAGGAGGCAAUCUUCAAUCAAUUGCAGCAUUAUUCACUUAGACUAUGUUCCUAAUUCAGCAGCAACCCACGCGGAUUUUAUACCGUUUAUUGUGCCUAGAAAAGCCAGAUUCAAAUGUUUUGUGAUGCAACUGGUUCUGAAGGAUUUGCUGCUUUAGACCCAUCUUGAAAUAAGCUUACUGAGAAAGCCCCCUUAGCUGGUUCUGCACCCAUACAAAACAUACAAGUAGCUCUGAGUGUGCAACUGCAGUGAGAUAUCCUGUAAGCUCUUGUUUUUCUGAGGCAGCCACUUCAAAAGAAAUUAAUAGUUUUAGUACGAUAUCUAAGACUGUUGCGCUAACUACAGUAUUUAGUGAUGGCGAUGAUGUUUUUAUCACAUCCCUGCAUAUUCCUUGGGAGUCCAACAAGUAACUUCGAGACCAAGCAGUUAAUGAUUAUUCAGUUCACAGGCAAGUGGGCAACAUUUGUGCAAACAUAUCUGAUGUUCUUUCAUUGGAUGAUGAUCAAAGGAACCAUAAGGCGAAAGUCACAUUAAAUGCAAAAGAUUAUUUAUCUACUAUGUUUAAUAUUCAUAUCAUGUUCAUACAGCCAACUCAUAUUGUCAUUCCCUCCAAGUUAGAAUGCAAUCCAUCAUCUGGAACAACCACCAUCCUUGAAAUCAAGAAUGAGGGAAUGAGGGAGAGGCAAGUUUCCCGGAUGAGGGUGUCAACAGUGAUGUGGGUCGUGCUGAGGUGGAGGCAGAAGUAGUUGAUGAAAAUGAUCCACACAAAAUGAUGAAUUUAGCCCUUUGGUAGGGAACAGAGAAAAGUUCUUUUGCUCACAGACUUCUGAUCUUGAUAUCGAGAUACCCAAGAAUGCUGUGCUAUAUCAGCAGAAACCUAUGUUGUGGAGGAAGUUCAGCAAAUUUAUGGUGUUGGUGUAACGAAGCCACUGGCCAAGCUCCUAAUGCUAAAAGGGAAGAGUUGAUGAUUCCUCAAAGCAUGUGGCUGGGAAGGUUUAUGAGUCAUCUAGGUCUGUACAAAUUCUGCUUUUGUCCGCACCAAAUACCCAAGGGAAAAGACAGAUGGGGUAUAGUUUCAAGCUUCGGGUCCAUCUUGCCCACCUUCCAAGUGUUUUUAAUUUCACAAAUUCUUUGAACGGAGUGGGACUACGAGUCCCCUCUGCAGAUGCUGCAUUUUCGCAAAAUUUAGUCAUGCAGGAGAUGCUUAAUCAAUUAAUUCCUCAAGAGAAUGGACAUUUAUUUAUAUACGCAAUGGUACAUGCUUAAUCAGGUAAUUGCUCAAGAGUAUGGACGUUUAUAUAUCCCACUACAUAUGUAUCAUGUCUCGCUGUUUUCAGCAUAUUAUUAUUUUUGCACGCUUGAGAUAUAGUGGUUGUAUAUGGUAAUUGAAACCACUGGGAGGUAAACUUUUAAUCA